ACAAACUACAAAACUUCAAAUCAUUUUAGACAUUUUGCACUGAUGAAAGUAUUGCAGUAUUUAUAUUUGUAUGAUGAGCUGGAAAUAAUGAAACUGAAAGAGAAACUCAAACACUGACACCUCACACACAAACACACACCUGUUAUAAAGGUGUGUGUUUGUGUUCGUGCGGCAGAUUUCAUCCGACACUCUCGGGACAGCAAAGACUGAACAUCUGCUGCUUGGACCUUACAGGCCUGAUGUGAUUUGCUGCUAUAUGAAUAAAACUGAAUUUGCUGCGACAGUAAAAUUACAUCACAGUUACAUCCAGGCAGAAACUGACAGAGAAUUCCACCCAAAUACUUCGUCAGUAAGAUGGACGACAAAAUAAAAAAAGAUCUCCAACAACUGCUCGACAAAUUAUGGUCUGAGCCAGAUCUCAAGGUCACCAUGAAGAACUCAGUGAAAGGAGGAAUUAAGACCACAGGAUGUGCGGUUGUUGGUGGGCUGGUUGGUGGACCUCCGGGGAUCGCUGUGGGUGCAGCCAUCGGAGGCAUCUACAGCUGGAAGACCAGUGACGAUUUCAAGCCUCUGCCUCAGAUCCUGCGGGAGAUGCCUCCUGCUCAAUUGGACGAGCUCCUUAAAUCAGUCAUGGUUAUUUUAGGCCAUCUG